UACAGAGGGGGCAAGCGUUGUUCGGAAUUACUGGGCGUAAAGGCGCGUUAGGCGGCCUGGCAAGUGGAAGGUGAAAUCCCUCGGCUUAACUUGGGAACUGCGUCCGAUACUGGAGGGCUUGAGUGCGGGAGAGGGAUGCGGAAUUCCAGGUGUAGCGGUGAAAUGCGUAGAUAUCUGGAGGAAUACCGGUGGCGAAGGCGGCAUCCUGGACUGGUCCUGACACUCAUGAGCGAAAGCGUGGGGAGCGGAGUCCGGA
rnacentral:rRNA from 1 species